AUUCCUCCUGCUGCACGUUGCCGGGAUAUCCUGUGGACUGUUUAUCGUCUGCUUCUGCAAAUGCACUGCCAAUCAUCAGCCUAUAUAAACUCUCUACACCUGUCAGCAAAGCGCGGCUGUGAUUUAAUCUGAGCAGCUCGCCUGGUGUACUUGUGAAGCUUUGCUAAUGGUGGUAUUUGUUGGUUGUGGUUAAGCUAUUGGUUACUGUUUAACCUGUCUGUUUUCCCUGGCGACUUGGUUAGAGCUGGCUGGCUUGUUAUUAGCUAGACUUGUUAAAUAGGUAUCAAACCUAGGGUUUGAUCUCUUUUGUGCUGUUUGGUUUGUUGCCUCAUGUUAGUGGAUACCGUGGCUCUUGAUACAUCACAAAGACUUGCUGUCUUGGUCACAGAUGCGCCAGCAAGACGUGCACCAACAAUUUGUCCUCUUUUGAACUCUGGCUGCAGGUCUAGAUGGUGUCAGCCCCAGAGGCCUGAAAGCAGUGAUGAACUCUGAUGCUCAUGAUGCUCAAUUUAUUCUCCUCACCGGCUUGAGGAUUGUUCAUGGGUCUGAAGAAAAGAUGGGGGGGACCCAGAGUUUCACGCGAUCAACUCAAAAAUGGUAAACCUCUCAUCCGUCCAAAACGGGAAAAACAUGAGGAACCAUUGCAGUUGACUGAAAAACAAGGAGGAAACUCAUCUCCUUGGAACAAACCCUCUGUGGGUUUCCCCUGCGCCUGGGUGCGUCUAACGGUCUUCAACAGGGAUAUGAAUAUUCUGAUGUUCUUAUAUAAGAAAGAUUUCAAGCUCUUCCAGGAAUGGCCAAUGUGGAGGAAAAGAAAACCCUCCUCACCAUAGUCUCGUAAACUACAUCUGGAACUGGUGCCUAAAAGUUUGUUUCCUUGGCUUUAAUUAGCUUUGAUGACAUCAGCUUUGAGGCCCGCUGCUGCGUAGUAGAGUUGUUUACCUGACCAAAAUGGCAAGUGUGACCCCGAACAAAUGCUUUUUUCACAUGUUAACCCGGAAGUGAGCACCGCUCAACCUGACAUAAUUUAAUGGUGCUCUAUUUGGGGAUGAAUAAAAGAUGUACAUUGUGCUUUUCAGAGGCAAGCUUUGGAUAUUUUUUAUGCAGAAAAGAGGUGCAACAACAUUUUCCCUCAAGGUGAGCACUGAGUGGCUGCUCUGUGAAUCUCUUUUGUGUAAGUGUGAGUAGCAGAGACAAAGAUAAGCUUUUGGUUAUGCAGAGACUGUUUUUGCUGUCUCUGUGAGGAACCACUAUUUAUGAUUUCUGCCUCUUCCCUUGCUUCAAGCUUAACUAUAACAUUUUAUUUUCUGUAUGUUUCAUGUGGUUUCCCUGCAAGUACCGAGUAGCAUGAAGCAACCGCCUUUUUGCAGUCAGAUGUUCAAUAUCUCCUCCGAAGAGAUACAUAUAAUUUAAGUCUAUGUCUUCAUGAUGGCAGCAUGCAUGGUGUUUGACAUCUUAUUAUGUAAGUUCCUUUUGUGUAAGUUCCUUCUUUAUAUUUGUUGCAUUUGUUUUAAUUUGAUCAUUGAAAUUCUGAAUGUCAGUGUUCUAAUUGUAAACCUUAAUAGGAAAAUGAAAUUAUUGGUGUGCAACAUCCUUAUUUAGACACAUUUAAUAAAAAAAAUUCAUAUAUAA